AGAAAAUACAGCUGUUGGUAAUUGAAGAGGCAGGUCUAGGCCAGACUGCAAGUUCUGAGGGAUUUGAGUUUUAUGCCGAAGGAGCUAUGGAGGGGUUUUAAAUAAGAGAGUAACAUGUUCAGAGGCAAGUUUCAGAAAGACCACAGUGACAGUAGCAUGGAGUAGAGAUUGGCAGACCAGCAAGGAGACCCUUGCAGUCAGCCAGGAGAAAGGUACAAAGGCCAAAACUCAAGUAAUUAGUGGAGAUGGAGAAGAGAUGAUGAAUAGGAAAAAUACUAAAUGAGGAUCUGAGAUUUGGAAAUUGAUUGGACAUGGGAAAAUGUUAUUAGGAAGGAG
rnacentral:lncRNA from 1 species